ACGUAGGUGGCAAGCGUUGUCCGGAUUUAUUGGGUUUAAAGGGUGCGUAGGCGGCCUUAUAAGUCAGUGCUGAAAUAUCCCGGCUUAACCGGGAGGGUGGCAUUGAUACUGUAGGGCUUGAGUACAGAUGAAGUAGGCGGAAUUGACGGUGUAGCGGUGAAAUGCAUAGAUAUCGUCAAGAACACCGAUAGUGAAGACAGCUUACUAGACUGUAACUGACGCUGAGGCACGAAAGUGUGGGGAUCAAACAGGA
rnacentral:rRNA from 1 species